rnacentral:rRNA from 1 species
UACGUAGGGAGCAAGCGUUGUCCGGAAUCAUUGGGCGUAAAGCGCGCGUAGGUGGCCUCAUAAGUCCGCUGUGAAAGUCAAAGGCUCAACCUUUGAAAGCCGGUGGAUACUGUGAGGCUAGAGUACGGAAGAGGCGAGUGGAAUUCCUGGUGUAGCGGUGAAAUGCGCAGAUAUCAGGAGGAACACCGGUGGCGAAGGCGGGUCUCUGGGCCGAUACUGACGCUGAGGAGCGAAAGCAUGGGUAGCGAACAGG